rnacentral:rRNA from 1 species
GAAGCUGGAAUUGCUAGUAAUGGCAGGUCAGCAUACUGCCGUGAAUACGUUCCCGGGCCCUUGUACACACCGCCCGUCACACCAUGAGAGUUGGGAAUACCCGAAGCCUGUGAGCUAACUUAUAGAGGCAGCAGUCGAAGGUAGAAUCAAUGAUUGGGGUGAAGUCGUAACAAGGUAGC